UGGGGAAUAUUGCACAAUGGGCGCAAGCCUGAUGCAGCGACGCCGCGUGCGGGAUGGAGGCCUUCGGGUUGUAAACCGCUUUUGUUCAAGGGCAAGGCACGGUUUCGGCCGUGUUGAGUGGAUUGUUCGAAUAAGCACCGGCUAACUACGUG
rnacentral:rRNA from 1 species